CUUCCGUUUCUCAAAAGUUUCACAUCAUCCCCUAAAUACUUUUAACACUCUUUUUACCUACGAAAAUCUUCCUUCCAAUAUCUUGUAUUUUUAUUAUAAUUUUUUUAUAUAUUAAGACGCAUUAAUAUUUUUAUUAUUGGAAAAAACACAAUAACCCAUUUAUAUGUAUAAACCCAUUACAUAAUUCCAACCCCUACCUUUAUAUUCAAUUGGGUCUCUUCAAGCAUUAUGCAACAGUCGUAGAUACCUUCCAUUGUUAAUACCAACUCAACUUGAAUCAAUGGAGACAAAAGUUAUCAUAAGUUUGAUUUAAAUAUAGCUUCAUUCUAACUGUUAAAGAUGAAGUCUGUUCAUUCAGCAACAUCUCUACCUUGCGAUUUAAUUGGACUUUUGUCAGAGAUUUUUUCCUAGAGUCAACGACCUUGAUUUCCUUGAUUAAAUGUGGCAUUCGAACAGAAUCUGCAAACAAUGCUCAAGAAGUAAUGCAACUUUUGUUGAUUGGUGUGAAUUUUGACAUCAUAUUUAUUGAUUUUGAUUUGCCCAUCAUAAGUAGACCUCAGUUUGUGAUGGAUAUGCUUGCAUUGGGGAUACAAAGAAAAAUAGUGCGCAAGUUAUCAAACUUUGGUGAUUAUAAUUCAAAAAUGUUUCUUGAAGCAUGAUUUAAUGGCAACACUCAGAAACCUUUGACUCGACGAAUUUUUGAACACCCUUGAAAUCGUUCGCUUCAAACGUUAGUAGUGGGCAUGCUAUAAAACCAUAGUGAUCAUAAUUUAGAAAUGAUUCUUGAAGCUUGAAGUAGGAGUUAAUGGCAAGAUUCAAAAAUCUUUCACUCGAGGAAUUUUUGAACACAUCAUUGAAAUCCUUCACUUUAUAUGAAUCUAAUGUUCCUCAUUGUUAUGAUGUGAUAUGCUUAUAAUUUGUAGGAGAGACAUUGAUUCUUUGAGUUGAAAUAUUAAAUAAAUUAUGAAAUGUAUGGGAUAAAAAGUAAAAGUAAUUUAUCUACAAUAUUUUGGAAAUUAAUAACUAUCGGGAAUAAUGUGCCGAAGAAAGAAAAUCCAUAAUAAACUAAUCAAAGGGGUAAUGUUACUGAAAUGAUGGAAUCUACUCCGUCGUCAAUUCCUGAACCACUGCUAAAAACUAUGACUGGACCAUCAUCGCGAAUACAAGAUAUAAUACUUUCUAAUCCUCCUUCGAGUCGAAUCACAAUACCACAGAAUGAUAUGAAUUCAUCUGAUCCCACUCUAAGUCGCAUUAUCACAAUGCCAAUGGAUGGCAUUGGAUUCACCAGAUCCUCCUCCAAGCUGCAUUAUCACAAUUUCGUUCUCAAAGCUGCAUUAUCACAAUUUUAAAUUACAUUAUCAGAAUCUUUAAAUUACAUUAUUGAAGUCGUAUUAUUACAAUGUCAUCCUGAAAGUGACAAUUUUGUAUAUUAUCUUAAGUCUAAAGAUCUACCUUCUAGUUAUAUUAUCACAUGUACUGGCUUCACAUGUAUUAAGGAAUGAUAAAUACGAAUAACUCGCUUAAAUAUGUAAGGAAUUAUUGAUACAAAUAAAUUGCUUAAAUGUGUAUUAAGGUUAUU